UAAAAAAUAAUAAUAAUAAUAAAAAAAAAAAAGCGUUGUCUGCUCUUGUCAAAAAAGUACCUGAAUGUCUUCUUCUUCAUCAGGACUAUGUUUAAAGAAUGGGUUCUAGGGUUCCUGUUCAGCAGUACAACUUGAGAUCAGCCAAUUCCUUCAUCGGAACCUCUUUGCAUGACCUCAACACAGUCGAUUCUCGCCCCUCUGACAUCGAUGCCAUUGCUGACGUUGAUCCUCACCAAGAUUCUCUUCACAAUCACCAUGAUUCCAACCCUGUUGAUUGUAUACAUGAAUCUUAUAGAAACCCUUUACCACUUCACGGUGUUGGAGUGGAAGAAGAUCGCUCUAGCUUGGAGAAUACUGGUCCAUCAAGUGGUGCUUACGAUACUCUGGCUAUUGAGGAUGUUUCCCCUAUUGAAUCGGCUAGGGCAAGGUUUCUGCAAAUUAUUGUGGAUCAUUUUAUUAAUGACCAUGUGAUUGAAGUGGCUGACUCUGAGGCUGAUUAUACUUCUCACUCAGGGCAAGAUAAAUUGAAUAAGAGGAAGACAGGAGAUGUCCAAUAUGAAGGUGAUCCAAGGUUUGCUUUGCCUUUGAUGUAUGUUGCUAAUUUGUACGGAAGCUUAGUUAAUGAUGUAGACUUAAGGCUUGCUUCCUUGAAUGGUAUUCGUGAGAAGACCAUUGGGGUGGCCCUUGAAGCAGCAGGCGGUUUGUACAGAAGUCUGGCUAAGAAAUUUCCAAAGAAAGGUUCUUGUAUAUACAGACGAAGAGAACUGGCAACUUCCCUUGAAACAAGGACAAGAUUUCCAGAAUUAGUAAUACAAGAAGAGAAGCGAGUUCGUUUUGUAGUAGUCAAUGGCUUGGAUAUUGUUGAGAAACCAAAUAAUAUGCCCAUUGAUGAUGCUGAGUGGUUUAAAAGAUUGACAGGUCGAAAUGAAGUAGCUAUCUCUGCUCAAGAUUAUAAAUUCUAUUCCCCAAGACACAAGUAUAGGCGUGUUACAUCAAACUCUGUAUCUAAUAUUCCUGGUUUGCCUGCAUUCCCUGGUGCAGAAAAUUCUUCUACUAUGGCUAAUGCACAGGGAUUUCGCUCUAUAAGUGAACGGGACUUAUGUACAACUUUUUCCUCAGUCACAAAAUCAACAGCAGACUCCUCCAAAACAUCACAUGCAAUCACUUUCACAUCAACCUCAGUUUCAUCAUAUUCACCAGAAUCAUCAUCAAUCUAUUCACCAGGGUCAACAUGCAGCCCACUAUUCCCAAAAUCAUCGACACUUGCCUGAAAUUGCUCAUCCUCACCAGUCACCAACAAUUUCCCAACACAUGGCAUGCUUACAACCUCUCACAGGAGGUCAUGUCGGAGAGCGCUUGCAUGUAAUGCCAACCAGCCCUGCAAAGUUUUGUGAUGAAUGUGGGGCUCCAUAUCUUAGAGAAACCUCCAAGUUCUGCUCAGAAUGUGGAGUGAAGAGGUUAGGAAUAUAAUUAAUCAAGAAUUAGAAUUGCUGUCAUUUUUGUGAUCCAGAUUGUAACUUUUGCCUAGUUUUCUCAAUUUAUUAAGCAUAUGACUUUUGAAUGGGUCGUUUCUUAAGGA